rnacentral:tmRNA from 2 species
GGGGGCGACCUGGUUUCGACGCGGGUUGCAAAACCGGAUGUGCAUGCCGAGAUUGAGACCUCUCGUAAAUCAGACUCACUAAACACAAAUGCAAACAAUGCAAAUUUUGAUGACGUUUCUUUCGAGGGCGCUAUUGCUGCCUAAGACUUAAACUAAUCAACGUGUACUGGCCAAAAACCCAGUGCCCCGUUGACCGAGCUCGCUUAUCGGUAUCGAAUCAACGGUCAUAGAAGAUAAGCUCGUGUGCUGAUGAGUCCCGCAUCAGUCCAUUAAACUAUGGGAACCGCUGUAUGAUAUCUUGCCCGUCGGAGCUCAUACAGUUAAAGCAAAUGACACGGCUACGCAUGUAGACCUGAAGGCAGAGGAUCUGCGGACGCGGGUUCGAUUCCCGCCGCCUCCACCA